ACGGAAUAGAUACCCGGGUAGUCCACGCCCUAAACGAUGUCUACUAGUUGUCGGGUCUUAAUUGACUUGGUAAACGCAGCUAAACGCGUGAAAGUAGACCGCCUGGGGAGUACGGUCGCAAGAUUAAAACUCAAAGGAAUUGACGGGGACCCGCACAAGCGGUGGAUGAUGUGGAUUAAUUCGAUGCAACGCGAAAAACCUUACCUACCCUUGACAUGGAUGGAAUCCCUGAGAGAUUGGGGAGUGCUCGAAAGAGAACCAUUACACAGGUGCUGCAUGGCUGUCGUCAGCUCGUGUCGUGAGAUGUUGGGUUAAGUCCCGCAACGAGCGCAACCCUUGUCAUUAGUUGCUACGAAAGGGCACUCUAAUGAGACUGCCGGUGACAAACCGGAGGAAGGUGGGGAUGACGUCAAGUCCUCAUGGCCCUUAUGGGUAGGGCUUCACACGUCAUACAAUGGUACAUACAGAGGGCCGCCAACCCGCGAGGGGAGCUAAUCCCAGAAAGUGUAUCGUAGUCCGGAUUGUAGUCUGCAACUCGACUGC
rnacentral:rRNA from 1 species